CCCUUAGAUGUCCGGGGCCGCACGCGCGCUACACUGAAGGAAUCAGCGUGGCUCUGUCCCUGGUCCGAAAGGAUUGGGAAACCCGUUGAAUCUCCUUCGUGAUAGGGAUUGGGGCUUGGAACUGUUCCCCAUGAACGAGGAAUUCCCAGUAAGCGCGAGUCAUAAGCUCGCGUUGAUUACGUCCCUGCCCUUUGUACACACCGCCCGUCGCUACUACCGAUUGGACGUUUUAGUGAGGAUUUUGGACUGAGCCAAUGGUGGUUCACACCACUGUUGUGCAUGGAAAGAUCUCCAAACUUGAGCGUUUAGAGGAAGUAAAAGUCGUAACA
rnacentral:rRNA from 1 species